AGAGUUUGAUCAUGGCUCAGAAUCAACGCUGGCGGCGUGCCUAACACAUGCAAGUCGAACGCGAAAAGGGGCAACCCUGAGUAGAGUGGCGUCCGGGUGAGUAACACGUGGAUAAUCUGCCUGCGGGUGGGGAAUAACUUUCCGAAAGGGGAGCUAAUACCGCAUAACACUAUUUGGGGGCAUCCUCGAAUAGUCAAAGAGGGGGAUCGCAAGACCUCUCGCCUGUAGAGGAAUCCGCGGCCGAUUAGCUAGUUGGCGAGGUAACGGCUCACCAAGGCGACGAUCGGUAGCCGGCCUGAGAGGGCGAACGGCCACACUGGCACUGAAAUACGGGCCAGACUCCUACGGGAGGCAGCAGUGGGGAAUUUUGGGCAAUGGCCGAAAGGCUGACCCAGCAACGCCGCGUGAAGGAUGAAAUCUUUCGGGAUGUAAACUUCGCAAGUCAAGGAAGAAUAAGGCUGUACGAAUAAUACAGUCGAUGACGGUACUUGACGUAAGCCCCGGCUAACUUCGUGCCAGCAGCCGCGGUA
rnacentral:rRNA from 1 species